UUUAAAAUGAAAUUGACUUGCCUAUUUGAUAGUGUGUGUUCUCCUUUUAUUCCUCCUUUGUUGGACUAAUAUUUUCCGAGACUUUGUGCUCGAUGGUACUAUAAUAUACAUUAGUCAUUACUAUAAUAUGUAAUGUUUACUGUAAGUUUAUACCGACCCUUGCAGGAUUGGGCCGCCUGUGAGUAAAUACUAAAUGAUGUAAUAUAAAGCAGCCUGGGCAUUUAUUGAAUUUCUGUAUUUUAAGAUGGGGGCUUUCUCAGUUCUAUUGUUCCCUUAGAAUUCAUAAAUUUCGGACCACGGACCGUUGGUCCCAGAAAUUUUUUGAGUUCCCAGAAAAUAUUUCCCCAUGCAAGAAUAAAGAAAACAUUGUAAUAAUUCAGAUAAAAGGAGAAAUUCAGUGGAAAAUUCACACCAUGACCUCAGAAAUGCAAUUAUAAAUGCAACCAUCUUAAUAGUGCGAUGGUGUACAAAUGUGUUCGACUAUAGAAUGAUGUACUAUGGUUUGAUCAGGAGUCGCAUACUGUCACAAGAGGGGGGAGGGGUACACAUGUAAAAACGCACAAGUUGUAUCAAACCUGCAGCCGACUUGUAACAAGGCUAUUCCAACAACUUAUCAACAGGAUGUGUUCGCACUGCUUGUUCCCAGCUUGUUGACAAAUUGUCAACGGCUUGUUGACAACUUGCUACAAGGUUGUUGAGCUCAACAGACUUGUUACAAGUUGUUCCAUCAACUUGUUAUCGUCCUGCAAUUCAACAACUUGUCGACAAGUUAUGAGUGACAACCUUGUAGCAACGUGAUAG